rnacentral:lncRNA from 1 species
GCUUGCCCAGCUGAGGCAUUGGAGCAGGGCAUUUUGAUAGUGGCUGGAGGGCAGGCAGCUCAACCUCUAAACCCCCCUGGUCUGGGCACCAAGUCCUGUCCUGGGCACGGGACACAGUCCUCCAGCGAGACCAAACCCAGCUUCUCUACAGCACCAGGAAGAAGGCAAGCUGGGCCACCAGGGCGCGGCCCCAGGAAGGAAAAUCCUCCAUGGUCCUGUUGACAGAUGUGGUAUCAAAUGAAUUGUUCUCUGCUUAGACACGACUUUGAUAUUUAUUGGUUCAAAUUGCUCGGCUGACUCAGUCUUGCGAAGGCCCACCAAGCAACAGACCCUCCCAGGCCCCACUCUGCACCAGGUGGGACACAGUGACCAUGGAGGCAGUGCCUAUAAGACUCAUGCAAAGCCACCUCCACCAUGCACGUGCCUCAGCCAGCAGAUGCAUUCAUCUGGGCUCAGUCAGCUUCCACGCUGGCCCUAACGGUGAUGCCUCGAGCUCUCCUAGUAUCCAGUCUCUCUGACCACCACUUAACCCGCUUUGCUCCUCUGAUCUUGAUUAAGGAACAUUCAUUUUCCUAAGCAGUGGCCCUCAUUCCUCCCAGACUUUGAAGGGAAUUCAAAUGCGGGGGAGAGAAAUGCUUUCUCUCAAGGUGUUUAAAGGUCUCCAAAGGGUGACAUUUUGAAAAAUCAGGGCUGGUGUGGACUCAGCAACCACUACUCAUCCUCCCGUCCACCUUGACAGAGAGAUCAUGCUCCUUCUUCCUCAUGAGACCAAAUGUGGUCCCAGAAAACUUGACAGAAUGUAGACUCGUCACCCCAUCAGAGUUGGCCCUUGGGCGAAACCCUCUCCCUAUCCUUGCCAGAAGUCAUAAGGUGCAUGAAAGCACCUGAGCACAUGUCCCUGGUACCGGUACCUGGUGCCUGAUACCUGAGAUCUGCCUCUGGGGUGAUGUUAGAUACUUGGCACCUUUGAUCCACCCAACUCUCACAGCAACCCCAAGGGUCAAAAUUUAUUCUGUUUUAUAGGUGAGGAAAGUGAGGCACAGAGAGAUAAAAUCACUUGCUCAAGUUCACACAGGCAGUAAAUGGUGGCAUUGGGAUUCAUGUGCAAGUCUAAUGUUGCUUUAAGUUCACAGAUACCAACUCUUCCUCCCCCAAGGUGUGUUAGAUGGGCUUGUGUCAGAGUGAGGUGCUGUGGGAUGAUCAUGGAAAGAAUAGGAAGAAAGUUUCGAAAAUGAUCUCAUUGACCUACUAAAACACUCACAUGAUAAACUUGGAAGUCGUCCAGGUACAAAGAGUCUUAUAAGUCACCCGGCUGGGGAGAGAAGCAGUGAAAUUGGAAGCCACUUCCGCUGAAUCAAUCAACAGGGUUCUGAGGCUUUCCCCUUAUGUUAAGUUUUUAUGGGUUCCCAGUAGAUUGCUGGUAGGAUUAUGGUAUUGGAUGGACAGAGAUACAUUAGAUCUGAGGCACAGCCCAUCUCUUCUCCCCAAGAGGAAAAUGAAGGACAGUGGAUGUAUUCAUGCUUAUGGUCAUAAAAAGGCAACAAACUAUUUUUUAAAUCAUAAAAUUUUCUCCAGCAACAAGGAAAGUAUUAUGGACAUGUAGACCUUCUAGAAUAUGAAAUGCAAAAGGCCUUGUUCCCUUUAGGGCCAAAAAUUAUUUAUUUAUGUAUUUACUUACUGUAAUCUUGUAAUAAAAAGAGUUAUUAUGACAGUAGAAAUAUCUAUGCAUGAGAUAAAGCAUCUUACUGCCCUGAGCCCUGAGCCUGCCAUCGUGUGAAUGCUCCUUAAGGAUUAGGUUCAUUCACUGAAUGAACGUUUCU